CAGUUUGACAGUUUGCUCAGUUUUUUCUCUUGCAAAGAGCGUUUUUUUUUCUUUGUCCGGAACUCGGGAUCAAAUUUUCGAAGUAAUCGUCUAGAAUCGGUUAAGAUAUUACAAUCGGAUUGUUUGCCUGGCCAUGCAGCGCAAAAAGCACCCCGGUUAGUUGGAGGUUUCAUGGCAGUGUUCAGGGCCAAGUUGCGGAUGGCAGUGUUCAAGGCCAAGUUGCGGAUAAGCUGUGGCCAUAGCUGGAAAAAGUGGAUUCCGGUGAUAACGGCAAAAGUAGCAUGGAGUGAUCCGCAGCCGCCUGGAGGCUGACAAGACCGCAUCCGAUGUCAGCCAACCAAGUGAAAAAAUAAGUGCAAAACAUCCGUGAAAAGUGUUCAAAAAAUAUUGUAGUGUUGUGAUGCUUUGUAAAUAAAAAGUUUUCAAAAAAA